rnacentral:rRNA from 1 species
AUUGAACGCUGGCGGCAGGCCUAACACAUGCAAGUCGAACGGAGGGGCGGACGGGUGCGUAAUGGCUAGGAAUCUGCAUGGUCGUGGGGGAUAAGGUCCGCUACUGGGCGCUAUUGCUGCUUACUAUCAGCUUAGCCUGGGUCGGAUUAGCUAGUUGGGGGGGUAAAGGCCUACCAAGGCGACGAUCCGUAACUGGUCUGAGAGGAUGAUCAGUCACACUGGAACUGAGACACGGUCCAGACUCCUACGGGAGGCAGCAGUGGGGAAUAUUGGACAAUGGGCGAAAGCCUGAUCCAGCCAUGCCGCGUGUAUGAAGAAGGUCUUCGGAUUGUAAAGCACUUUAAGUUGGGAGGCGUUACCAGCAGAAUAAGCACCGGCUAACUUCGUGCCAGCAGCCGCGGUAAUUC